rnacentral:rRNA from 1 species
GACGAACGCUGGCGGCGUGCUUAACACAUGCAAGUCGGACGAUGAAGAAGAGAAACGCGAACUUCGGUUCAAAUUUCACUUCGGAUUAGUGGCAGACGGGUGAGUAACGCGUGAGCAACCUACCUCUUACAAAGGGAUAGCCUCGGGAAACCGUGAUUAAUACCAUAUGACACAUUCAUAAGGCAUCUUAAGAAUGUUAAAGCUACGGCGGUAAGAGAUGGGCUCGCGUCCCAUUAGCUAGUUGGUGAGGUAACGGCCCACCAAGGCGACGAUGGGUAACCGGCCUGAGAGGGUGAACGGUCACAUUGGAACUGAGACACGGUCCAAACUCCUACGGGAGGCAGCAGUGGGGAAUAUUGCACAAUGGAGGGAACUCUGAUGCAGCGACGCCGCGUGAGCGAUGAAGGAAUUCGUUUCGUAAAGCUCUGUUCUAUGGGAAGAAAAGGACGGUACCAGAGGAGAAAGCCCCGGCUAAAUACGUG